UCGCCUGUUUUAUCAAAAACAUUGCCACCAGAUCAAUUAUUGGGGGUAACUCUGCCCAGUGACAAAUUUCAACGGCCGCGGUACUUUGACCGUGCAAAGGUAGCACAAUAAUGAGCCUCUUAAUUAGGGGAUAGAAUGAAUGAAUCAACGAAAAGUCAACUGUCUCAUAGAUAUUUCUAAAAUUUAUAAAUGGGUGAAAAAGCCCAUAUAUCAAUUAAAGACAAGAAGUCCCUAUAAGCUUUCUUAAAAUUAAACAAUACCAGUUAAAUAUUAUUUAGUUGGGGCGACUAAAAGAACUAAACACUUACCACCGACAGAGAUAAUACCUCACAUCAAAUAUCCAAACAAACUCAAGCAAGUUACUAUAGGGAUAACAGGCUAAUUCUUUCCAAGAGUACAUAUCAACGAAGGAGUUUGGCACCUCGAUGUUGGCUUAGGGUUACUAUUUCAUGCAGAAGUGAAAUAAGUGGGUUUGUUCAACCUUUAAAUCCCUACAUGAUCUG
rnacentral:rRNA from 1 species